AUUGAACGCUGGCGGCAGGCCUAACACAUGCAAGUCGAACGGUAGCACAGAGGAGCUUGCUCCUUGGGUGACGAGUGGCGGACGGGUGAGUAAUGUCUGGGAAACUGCCCGAUGGAGGGGGAUAACUACUGGAAACGGUAGCUAAUACCGCAUAACGUCGCAAGACCAAAGAGGGGGACCUUCGGGCCUCUUGCCAUCGGAUGUGCCCAGAUGGGAUUAGCUAGUAGGUGGGGUAACGGCUCACCUAGGCGACGAUCCCUAGCUGGUCUGAGAGGAUGACCAGCAACAAUGGAACUGGGACACGGUCCAGACUCCUACGGGAGGCAGCAGGGGGGAAUAUUGCACAAUGGGCGCAAGCCUGAUGCAGCCAUGCCGCGUGUAUGAAGAAGGCCUUCGGGUUGUAAAGUACUUUCAGCGAGGAGGAAGGCGUUGUGGUUAAUAACCGCAGCGAUUGACGUUACUCGCAGAAGAAGCACCGGCUAACUCCGUGCCAGCCGCCGCUGUAAGAC
rnacentral:rRNA from 1 species